GAAAUGCGAUACGCAUUGUGAAUUGCAGAUUUCAGUGAACCAUCAGAUUUCCGAACGCAUAUGGCGCUGUAGGGACUUCCCUGCAGCACGUCUGUUUCAGUGUCUUU
rnacentral:rRNA from 1 species